UUGGGUGGAGACCAGCUUUUUCGCUGCUGCUUUCUCCCGGCUUCACUCACCUGCCCAUGUCGCCUGUAAACCCGGCUUCAUGUCUCUGGUGGCACUGUACUGGGAACCUCCAGGCCCAUGGCCACUGGCCAGAGGGAGCCCUCUGCAACCCACUCUUCUGUCUCGAGCUGCGGGACAGACGACGAGGGCGUGCGCUGCACCUGCGAAGAUGCUUCUCUGUGAAAAAGGGAUAAUGAGAAUAUUACCUGUCUCAGAGGGUUAUUGUGAACAUUAAAUGUGGAGUGCUUCUAACAGUGCUUGGCAUACGGUUUGCAGUAAGGCUACUGGCAUGACCCUUCCACCCAGCACUUUGUGAGACUGACUAAAGAGAGGAAGGCCCCGGAAAUUAACAGAGGCAAGUGACCAUCUCCCUCCCCAACUUCUUUUCAUCAGCCUGGAGGCCGGAGGUUGUAGAGAUUCUUACAAGGGAGUUCCAGCCUGCAUCUUUGCCGAUAGUAUAGGAAAGUGCUUACUUCCCAACAUCCUCACCAACACGGUGUAUCAUGAAACUUUUUGCUCUUUGUUAAUCUGAUAAAUGAAAAAUGGCAUCUUA